AACGGAAGUAUCCUCGAAAAUGUAGUCAGAUUGUAGUUUUGAAAAUGCUUUACGGCACAGACACACACCCAAACAUGGCACCGGCUAGAUAUAAACAGCCAGUUGCGAGGCAAUUGUUGCAUUCAUCAUGGAUCAAUCGACUAAUGAUCAGCCGACUAAAAAGAGACAGAGAAACCCAAUGUCGGAGGAACAGAAGAAGAGAAAAGGGAGACUGACCGACAGAGAGGCCAGACACGAGUAAACGUUGGGCAAGCUUUUCAGGAAUAGCGUGAACUGAAAGAAAAAGAAGACUGCAAAUCAGACGCCGACUCGGCCGUGUUGCUUUUGAAAUUGAAAGUACCCUUGGGUGAACUUUGUCUUCGUGGUAUUCUUGAUGUUGAUAGUCUCUGUACAAAUGUGUUUGCUCAACCAUUUUGUUGUGAGCCCUGUAAAAAUUGUUUUCUCGACCGUUUUGUUGUGAGCCCUGUAUGUUUCUAGCUUGCUUGGUUGCAACCAUAUAAACACCUUUGUUUCCA